GUAGGUGAACCUGCGGAAGGAUCAUUACCGAGAGACGGGGUCUAACCGGCCCCACUCUUCACCCGUGUAUACCUACCUCUGUUGCUUUGGCGGGCCCUCGGGCUCUAUCGCUCGGCGUCGACCGGAAGGCUUGCCUCUCUGUUCGGCGAGUGCCCGCCAGAGGCCCUCGAAACUCUUGUAUCAGUGUUGUCUGAGCAAUUACAUAAUAGUCAAAACUUUCAACAACGGAUCUCUUGGUUCUG
rnacentral:misc_RNA from 1 species